CUACUCCCGUACGAUCACCAAAGUUAAGCCAUGUCGAGUCUAGUCAGUACUAAAUGGGUGACUGCUUGGGAAUACCAGGUGCUGUAU